rnacentral:rRNA from 1 species
CAGUUUAACGGCCGCGGUACCCUAACCGUGCGAAGGUAGCAUAAUCACUUGUUUCUUAAAUAGAGACUAGUAUCAACGGCAUCACGAAGACUAUACUGUCUCCCCCCUAAAAUCAAUGAAACUGAUCUCCUCGUGAAGAAGCGAGGAUAUACAUAUAAGACGAGAAGACCCCAUGGAGCUUUAAACGAACUUCAAUUGUUCCUACCCAUAACAUACAAAUUGAACACCCCUGAUAGUUAGUUUUAGGUUGGGGUGACCGCGGAGUAAAACAAAACCUCCACAAUGAAUGAAAUAAAAUUCUUAUAAAAGAACCACAACUCUAAUAAUCAAAAAUUUGACAUAAAUUGACCCAAACACUUGAUCAAUGAACCAAGUUACCCUGGGGAUAACAGCGCAAUCCAUUUUAAGAGCCCAUAUCGACAAAUGGGUUUACGACCUCGAUGUUG